rnacentral:lncRNA from 1 species
AUAAACUUCCUAAUGUGGGAAGGUAUAGGCAAGAUCAAAUCAACUCCUAUAACCCACACAAUAUAUGCAAUAUCGAAACUUAACAGCCUAGAAAAUAUCUCUUUCUACUUUAAUCUACAACAUCUAAUAGGCAUAUAUAAACAAGAACUAGGGAAUUUAAAAAACAAGAAAAGAAAAACACCAUAAACUUACUGAUAAAUUGACCCCUGCUCCUUUGACUCAACAAGACUUUUGAAUACUCACGUUU